GACGAACGCUGGCGGCGUGCUUAACACAUGCAAGUCGAACGAUGAACCCGGAGCUUGCUCCGGUGGAUUAGUGGCGAACGGGUGAGUAACACGUGAGUAACCUGCCCUUGACUCUGGAAUAACUGCGGGAAACUGUAGCUAAUACCGGAUACGACCCUCGGCGGCAUCGCCAGGGGGUGGAAAGAAUUUCGGUCAAGGAUGGACUCGCGGCCUAUCAGCUAGUUGGUGAGGUAACGGCUCACCAAGGCGACGACGGGUAGCCGGCCUGAGAGGGUGACCGGCCACACUAGGACUGAGACACGGCCCAGACUCCUACGGGAGGCAGCAGUGGGGAAUAUUGCACAAUGGGCGCAAGCCUGAUGCAGCAACGCCGCGUGAGGGAUGACGGCCUUCGGGUUGUAAACCUCUUUUAGUAGGGAAGAAGCGAAAGUGACGGUACCUGCAGAAAAAGCACCGGCUAACUACGUGCCAGCCGCCGCGGUAA
rnacentral:rRNA from 1 species